rnacentral:rRNA from 1 species
UACGUAGGGAGCAAGCGUUGUCCGGAAUCAUUGGGCGUAAAGCGCGCGUAGGUGGCCCCAUAAGUCCGCUGUGAAAGUCAAAGGCUCAACCUUUGAAAGCCGGUGGAUACUGUGGGACUAGAGUACGGAAGAGGCGAGUGGAAUUCCUGGUGUAGCGGUGGAAUGCGCAGAUAUCAGGAGGAACACCUGAGGUGAAGACGGGUUGCUGGGCUGACACUGACGCUGAGGCGCGAAAGCCAGGGGAGCAAACGGG